UAUAACAUGUGGCAAUUGUGGACUGCAAGGACAUAGGUACACAAGCUGCAACAAGCAGUUGAAGCCUGAGCUGGCUUUGAGGAAGAACAAACAUGUGCCUCUUGCAAGGAAUUCCAAUGCUGGUGCUGCUGCUACUACACAAGCAUCAAGAACUUCUCAUCCAACUCCUACAACAACACCAACAGCUGGAACAGGAGCUGGGAGAGGAGCUGGGAGAGGGGCUGCAGCUGCAGCUGCUGGGAGUGGUGCUGCUAGAGGUGCUGGUAGAGGUGCUGGUAGAGGUGCUGCACCAGGUGCUGGGAGAGGUGCUGGGAGAGGGAGAGGUACAUUCUCUGCCCCAAGGCAAUCUGGUCCCUCCACAUCUACUGCUCCCUCUACAUCUACUGCUACUCCACCUUCUGGUGGUAGAAACAGAGGAUGGAGAGCCUACUUCUAUGCAAGUGGUAACCACUAAAUGGCACAUGUGCCAUGUAAUGUUCAAAACUAGAUACUUCAUGUGUGUUCUUGCAUCCUAUGGUACAAUGUGAUCUUGCUGGUGCUCUCAGUGUACUUUGCUGGUGCUCUUAUUGUACUUUGCUGGUGUACUUUAAGAAUCAAUGCCAUAUAUGGCUUUUGUUCAUGUGGAUGGAUGGAUUUAUUUAUUAGUUAAUGCCAUUUCUGGAGCUGGCUUUUGUUCAUGUGGAUGGAUGUGAUCUUGCUAUUUAUUAGUUAAUCAAUGCCUGGAAUGGACUAUGUUCAUGUGGAUGGUUCUUUUUAUAUUUUUUUAUGAUUGAUAUGUUCAUGACAAU